rfam:Felis catus isolate Cinnamon breed Abyssinian chromosome B2, whole genome shotgun sequence.
GCCUGGCCGGCUCAGUCGGUGGAGCUUACAACUCUUGAUCUUGGGGUUGUGGGUUCGAGCCCCACGUUGGGUG